rnacentral:rRNA from 1 species
AUGAACGCUAGCGACAGGCCUAACACAUGCAAGUCAGGGGCAGCACAAGGAGCAAUCUGAGGUGGCGACCGGCGCACGGGUGAGUAACACGUAUGCAACCUGCCUGUAAGCGGGGAAUAACCCGUUGAAAGACGGACUAAUACCGCAUAAUACUAAAUUACUGCAUGGCAAUUUAUUUAAACAUUUAUGGCUUACAGAUGGGCAUGCGCAUGAUUAGCUAGUUGGAGAGGUAACGGCUCCCCAAGGCAACGAUCAUUAGGGGUUCUGAGAGGAAGGUCCCCCACACUGGUACUGAGACACGGACCAGACUCCUACGGGAGGCAGCAGUGAGGAAUAUUGGUCAAUGGACGAGAGUCUGAACCAGCCAAGUCGCGUGCAGGAAGAAUGUCCUAAUGGAUUGUAAACUGCUUUUGCAGGGGAAUAAAGUGCAUCACGUGUGAUGUUUUGUAUGUACUCUGCGAAUAAGGAUCGGCUAACUCCGUGCCAGCCGCAGC